rnacentral:rRNA from 1 species
AAAGGGUGCGUAGGCGGCCUGUUAAGUCAGGGGUGAAAGACGGUAGCUCAACUAUCGCAGUGCCCUUGAUACUGAUGGGCUUGAAUUGACUAGAGGUAGGCGGAAUGUGACAAGUAGCGGUGAAAUGCAUAGAUAUGUCACAGAACACCGAUUGCGAAGGCAGCUUACUAUGGUUUUAUUGACGCUGAGGCACGAAAGCGUGGGGAUCAAACAGGAUUAGAUACCCUGGU